rnacentral:rRNA from 1 species
UACGUAGGGGGCUAGCGUUGUCCGGAAUCAUUGGGCGUAAAGCGCGUGUAGGCGGUCCGGUAAGUCCGCUGUGAAAGUCGGGGGCUCAACCCUCGAAUGCCGGUGGAUACUGUCGGGCUAGAGUGCGGAAGAGGCGAGUGGAAUUCCUGGUGGUAGCGGUGAAAUGCGCAGAUAUCUGGAGGAACACCGGUGGCGAAGGCGGCAUCCUGGACCGGCAUUGACGCUGAGGCGCGAAAGCCAGGGGAGCAAACGGG